AUUGAACGCUGGCGGCAGGCCUAACACAUGCAAGUCGAGCGGAUGAAGGGAGCUUGCUCCUGGAUUCAGCGGCGGACGGGUGAGUAAUGCCUAGGAAUCUGCCUGGUAGUGGGGGAUAACGUCCGGAAACGGGCGCUAAUACCGCAUACGUCCUGAGGGAGAAAGUGGGGGAUCUUCGGACCUCACGCUAUCAGAUGAGCCUAGGUCGGAUUAGCUAGUUGGUGGGGUAAAGGCCUACCAAGGCGACGAUCCGUAACUGGUCUGAGAGGAUGAUCAGUCACACUGGAACUGGGACACGGUCCAGACUCCUACGGGAGGCAGCAGUGGGGAAUAUUGGACAAUGGGCGAAAGCCUGAUCCAGCCAUGCCGCGUGUGUGAAGAAGGUCUUCGGAUGUUAAAGCACUUUAAGUUGGGAGGAAGGGCAGUAAGUUAAUACCUUGCUGUUUUGACGUUACCAACAGAAUAAGCACCGGCUAACUUCGUG
rnacentral:rRNA from 1 species